rnacentral:rRNA from 1 species
UCCUCCCUCUUUCUUCGUGCUUAACACAUGCAAGUCGAACGGAAAGGCCCUGCUUGCAGGGUGCUCGAGUGGCGAACGGGUGAGUAACACGUGGGUGAUCUGCCCCUUACUUUGGGAUAAGCCUGGGAAACUGGGUCUAAUACUGGAUAGGACCAUGCUGUAGGUGGUGUGGUGGAAAGAUUAGUUUCGGUAAGGGAUGAGCUCGCGGCCUAUCAGCUUGUUGGUGGGGUAAUGGCCUACCAAGGCGUCGACGGGUAGCCGGCCUGAGAGGGUGGACGGCCACAUUGGGACUGAGAUACGGCCCAGACUCCUACGGGAGGCAGCAGUGGGGAAUAUUGCACAAUGGGCGCAAGCCUGAUGCAGCGACGCCGCGGGGGGGAUGACGGCCUUCGGGUUGUAAACUCCUUUCAGCCAUGACGAAGCCCUUGUGGUGACGGUAGUGGUAGAAGAAGCACCGGCUAACUACGUG